rnacentral:rRNA from 3 species
ACGACUCUCGGCAAUGGAUAUCUCGGCUCUCGCAUCGAUGAAGAGCGCAGCGAAAUGCGAUACGUGGUGCGAAUUGCAGAAUCCCGCGAACCAUCGAGUCUUUGAACGCAAGUUGCGCCCGAGGCCAGCAGGCCAAGGGCACGUCCGCCUGGGCGUCAAGCGUUGCGUCGCUCCG